rnacentral:lncRNA from 1 species
CUGGCAGGGAUGGAGCUGGUGCGGGCCUGGAAGUAGAUGUCCUGGUUCUACUACCAACACCUGCUGGUCACAAUGCUCUACAUGCUGGAGCCCGAGGAGCGGAAGGUGCUCAAUUCCACGCUGGUUUCCAUUGAUACGCAGGAUACAUCUUCAUGACCCAGCACAUCAUGGCGAUAUUGCACUACUUUGAAAUUGUACAAUAA